GACGAACGCUGGCGGCGUGCUUAACACAUGCAAGUCGAACGGAAAGGCCCUGCUUUUGUGGGGUGCUCGAGUGGCGAACGGGUGAGUAACACGUGAGUAACCUGCCCUUGACUUUGGGAUAACUUCAGGAAACUGGGGCUAAUACCGGAUAGGAGCUCCUGCUGCAUGGUGGGGGUUGGAAAGUUUCGGCGGUUGGGGAUGGACUCGCGGCUUAUCAGCUUGUUGGUGGGGUAGUGGCUUACCAAGGCUUUGACGGGUAGCCGGCCUGAGAGGGUGACCGGCCACAUUGGGACUGAGAUACGGCCCAGACUCCUACGGGAGGCAGCAGUGGGGAAUAUUGCACAAUGGGCGGAAGCCUGAUGCAGCAACGCCGCGUGCGGGAUGACGGCCUUCGGGUUGUAAACCGCUUUCGCCUGUGACGAAGCGUGAGUGACGGUAAUGGGUAAAGAAGCGCCGGCUAACUACGUGCCAGCAGCCGCGGUGAUACGUAGGGUGCGAGCGUUGUCCGGAUUUAUUGGGCGUAAAGGGCUCGUAGGUGGUUGAUCGCGUCGGAAGUGUAAUCUUGGGGCUUAACCCUGAGCGUGCUUUCGAUACGGGUUGACUUGAGGAAGGUAGGGGAGAAUGGAAUUCCUGGUGGAGCGGUGGAAUGCGCAGAUAUCAGGAGGAACACCAGUGGCGAAGGCGGUUCUCUGGGCCUUUCCUGACGCUGAGGAGCGGAAGCGUGGGGAGCGAACAGGCUUAGAUACCCUGGUAGUCCACGCUGUAAACGGUGGGUACUAGGUGUGGGGUCCAUUCCACGGGUUCCGUGCCGUAGCUAACGCUUUAAGUACCCCGCCUGGGGAGUACGGCCGCAAGGCUAAAACUCAAAGGAAUUGACGGGGCCCCGCACAAGCGGCGGAGCAUGCGGAUUAAUUCGAUGCAACGCGUAGAACCUUACCUGGGUUUGACAUGGAUCGGGAGUGCUCAGAGAUGGGUGUGCCUCUUUUGGGGUCGGUUCACAGGUGGUGCAUGCCUGUCGUCAGCUCGUGUCGUGAGAUGUUGGGUUAAGUCCCGCAACGAGCGCAACCCUUGUUCACUGUUGCCAGCACGUUAUGGUGGGGACUCAGUGGAGACCGCCGGGGUCAACUCGGGGGAAGGUGGGGAUGACGUCAAGUCCUCAUGCCCCUUAUGUCCAGGGCUUCACGCAUGCUACAAUGGCUGGUACAGAGAGUGGCGAGCCUGUGAGGGUGAGCGAAUCUCGGAAAGCCGGUCUCAGUUCGGAUUGGGGUCUGCAACUCGACCUCAUGAAGUCGGAGUCGCUAGUAAUCGCAGAUCAGCAACGCUGCGGUGAAUACGUUCCCGGG
rnacentral:rRNA from 1 species